rnacentral:rRNA from 1 species
GAUGAACGCUGGCGGCGUGCCUAAUACAUGCAAGUCGAGCGAACGGACGAGAAGCUUGCUUCUCUGAUGUUAGCGGCGGACGGGUGAGUAACACGUGGAUAACCUACCUAUAAGACUGGGAUAACUUCGGGAAACCGGAGCUAACACCGGAUAAUAUUUUGAACCGCAUGGUUCAAGAGUGAAAGACGGUCUUGCUGUCACUUAUAGAUGGUUCCGCGCUGCAUUAGCUAGUUGGUAAGGUAACGGCUUACCAAGGCAACGAUGCAUAGCCGACCUGAGAGGGGGAUCGGCCACACUGGAACUGAGACGAGGUCCAGACUCCAACGAGAGGCAGCAGUAGGGAAGCUUCCGCAAUGGGCGAAAGCCUGACGGAGCAACGCCGCGUGAGUGAUGAAGGUCUUCGGAUCGUAAAACUCUGUUAUUAGGGAAGAACAUAUGUGUAAGUAACUGUGCACAUCUUGACGGUACCUAAUCAGAAAGCCACGGCUAACUACGUG